GGUGGCUCAGUGGUAGAGUGCUUGUCUUGCAUGCAUGAGGCCCUGGGUUCAAUUCCUCAGCACCG
rnacentral:tRNA from 1 species